UACGUAGGGAGCAAGCGUUAUCCGGAUUUAUUGGGUGUAAAGGGUGCGUAGACGGAGAAGCAAGUUAGUUGUGAAAUCCCUCGGCUUAACUGAGGAACUGCAACUAAAACUACUUCCCUUGAGUACUGGAGAGGAAAGUGGAAUUCCUAGUGUAGCGGUGAAAUGCGUAGAUAUUAGGAGGAACACCAGUGGCGAAGGCGACUUUCUGGACAGUAACUGACGUUGGGGCACGAAAGUGUGGGGAGCAAACAGG
rnacentral:rRNA from 1 species